CCUACGGGGGGCAGCAGUGGGGAAUUUUGGACAAUGGGCGCAAGCCUGAUCCAGCCAUGCCGCGUGUCUGAAGAAGGCCUUCGGGUUGUAAAGGACUUUUGUCAGGGAAGAAAAGGCUGUUGCUAAUACCGACAGCUGAUGACGGUACCUGAAGAAUAAGCACCGGCUAACUACGUGCCAGCAGCCGCGGUAAUACGUAGGGUGCGAGCGUUAAUCGGAAUUACUGGGCGUAAAGCGAGCGCAGACGGUUACUUAAGCAGGAUGUGAAAUCCCCGGGCUUAACCUGGGAACUGCGUUCUGAACUGGGUGACUAGAGUGUGUCAGAGGGAGGUAGAAUUCCACGUGUAGCAGUGAAAUGCGUAGAGAUGUGGAGGAAUACCGAUGGCGAAGGCAGCCUCCUGGGAUAACACUGACGUUCAUGCUCGAAAGCGUGGGUAGCAAACAGGAUUAGAUACCCGAGUAGUC
rnacentral:rRNA from 1 species